rnacentral:rRNA from 1 species
AGAGUUUGAUCAUGGCUCAGAUUGAACGCUGGCGGCAGGCCUAACACAUGCAAGUCGAACGGUAACAGGAAGAAGCUUGCUUCUUUGCUGACGAGUGGCGGACGGGUGAGUAAUGUCUGGGAAACUGCCUGAUGGAGGGGGAUAACUACUGGAAACGGUAGCUAAUACCGCAUAACGUCGCAAGACCAAAGAGGGGGACCUUCGGGCCUCUUGCCAUCGGAUGUGCCCAGAUGGGAUUAGCUUGUUGGUGGGGUAACGGCUCACCAAGGCGACGAUCCCUAGCUGGUCUGAGAGGAUGACCAGCCACACUGGAACUGAGACACGGUCCAGACUCCUACGGGAGGCAGCAGUGGGGAAUAUUGCACAAUGGGCGCAAGCCUGAUGCAGCCAUGCCGCGUGUAUGAAGAAGGCCUUCGGGUUGUAAAGUACUUUCAGCGGGGAGGAAGGGAGUAAAGUUAAUACCUUUGCUCAUUGACGUUACCCGCAGAAGAAGCACCGGCUAACUCCGUGCCAGCAGCCGCGGUAAUACGGAGGGUGCAAGCGUUAAUCGGAAUUACUGGGCGUAAAGCGCACGCAGGCGGUUUGUUAAGUCAGAUGUGAAAUCCCGGGCUCAACCUGGGAACUGCAUCUGAUACUGGCAAGCUUGAGUCUCGUAGAGGGGGGUAGAAUUCCAGGUGUAGCGGUGAAAUGCGUAGAGAUCUGGAGGAAUACCGGUGGCGAAGGCGGCCCCCUGGACGAAGACUGACGCUCAGGUGCGAAAGCGUGGGGAGCAAACAGGAUUAGAUACCCUGGUAGUCCACGCCGUAAACGAUGUCGACUUGGAGGUUGUGCCCUUGAGGCGUGGCAUCCGGAGCUAACGCGUUAAGUCGACCGCCUGGGGAGUACGGCCGCAAGGUUAAAACUCAAAUGAAUUGACGGGGGCCCGCACAAGCGGUGGAGCAUGUGGUUUAAUUCGAUGCAACGCGAAGAACCUUACCUGGUCUUGACAUCCACAGAACUUUCCAGAGAUGGAUUGGUGCCUUCGGGAACUGUGAGACAGGUGCUGCAUGGCUGUCGUCAGCUCGUGUUGUGAAAUGUUGGGUUAAGUCCCGCAACGAGCGCAACCCUUAUCCUUUGUUGCCAGCGGUCCGGCCGGGAACUCAAAGGAGACUGCCAGUGAUAAACUGGAGGAAGGUGGGGAUGACGUCAAGUCAUCAUGGCCCUUACGACCAGGGCUACACACGUGCUACAAUGGCGCAUACAAAGAGAAGCGACCUCGCGAGAGCAAGCGGACCUCAUAAAGUGCGUCGUAGUCCGGAUUGGAGUCUGCAACUCGACUCCAUGAAGUCGGAAUCGCUAGUAAUCGUGGAUCAGAAUGCCACGGUGAAUACGUUCCCGGGCCUUGUACACACCGCCCGUCACACCAUGGGAGUGGGUUGCAAAAGAAGUAGGUAGCUUAACCUUCGGGAGGGCGCUUACCACUUUGUGAUUCAUGACUGGGGUGAAGUCGUAACAAGGUAACCGUAGGGGAACCUGCGGUUG